rnacentral:rRNA from 1 species
GACGAACGCUGGCGGCGUGCUUAACACAUGCAAGUCGAACGGAAAGGCCCUGCUUUUGUGGGGUGCUCGAGUGGCGAACGGGUGAGUAACACGUGAGUAACCUGCCCUUGACUUUGGGAUAACUUCAGGAAACUGGGGCUAAUACCGGAUAGGAGCUCCUGCUGCAUGGUGGGGGUUGGAAAGUUUCGGCGGUUGGGGAUGGACUCGCGGCUUAUCAGCUUGUUGGUGGGGUAGUGGCUUACCAAGGCUUUGACGGGUAGCCGGCCUGAGAGGGUGACCGGCGACAUUGGGACUGAGAUACGGCCCAGACUCCUACGGGAGGCAGCAGUGGGGAAUACUGCACAAUGGGCGGAAGCCUGAUGCAGCAACGCCGCGUGCGGGAUGACGGCCUUCGGGUUGUAAACCGCUUUCGCCUGUGACGAAGCGUGAGUGACGGUAAUGGGUAAAGAAGCACCGGCUAACUACGUG